AUUGAACGCUGGCGGCAUGCCUUACACAUGCAAGUCGAACGGUAACGGGCCUUCGGGUGCCGACGAGUGGCGAACGGGUGAGUAAUACAUCGGAACGUGCCCGAUCGUGGGGGAUAACGAGGCGAAAGCUUUGCUAAUACCGCAUACGAUCUACGGAUGAAAGCAGGGGACCGCAAGGCCUUGCGCGGACGGAGCGGCCGAUGGCAGAUUAGGUAGUUGGUGGGAUAAAAGCUUACCAAGCCGACGAUCUGUAGCUGGUCUGAGAGGAUGAUCAGCCACACUGGGACUGAGACACGGCCCAGACUCCUACGGGAGGCAGCAGUGGGGAAUUUUGGACACUGGGCGCAAGCCUGAUCCAGCCCUGCCGCGUGCAGGAUGAAGGCCUUCGGGUUGUAAACUGCUUUUGUACGGAACGAAAAGCCUUCUUUUAAUACAGGAGGGUCAUGACGGUACCGUAAGAAUAAGCACCGGCUAACUACGUG
rnacentral:rRNA from 1 species